CAGCCGCCACGGUAAUACAGAGGGUGCGAGCGUUAAUCGGAUUUACUGGGCGUAAAGCGUGCGUAGGCGGCUUCUUAAGUCGGAUGUGAAAUCCCUGAGCUUAACUUAGGAAUUGCAUUCGAUACUGGGAAGCUAGAGUAUGGGAGAGGAUGGUAGAAUUCCAGGUGUAGCGGUGAAAUGCGUAGAGAUCUGGAGGAAUACCGAUGGCGAAGGCAGCCAUCUGGCCUAAUACUGACGCUGAGGUACGAAAGCAUGGGGAGCAAACAGGAUUAGAUACCCGUGUAGUCCCUGUCUCUUAUAC
rnacentral:rRNA from 1 species